UGAGAUAUGGUGUAAUGGUAGCACUCCAGAUUCUGGCUCUGUCGGUGAGGGUUCGAGUCCUUCUAUCUCAACCA
rnacentral:tRNA from 1 species